UUAUUCGUGAUGAUAAGGACAAGAUUAUUUAUAAUUCAUAAUCUAGAGAAGGUAUCCGUUGGCUGAAAGUUACCUUUAUGAGAUAAGUAAUUACCACCUUGGAGCUUUGCUGGUGAAUAGUUAGUAACCAGCAACGUAUUUCUGCGUUAAAGAUAUAAUGAAGCUAUCCAGAUAUGGAUAGGAAUUAGGGUGGAACCACGACGUUACCAACGCUCGUCCCUUUG
rnacentral:ncRNA from 1 species